UUGCACGCUGGCGGCAGGCCUAACCCCUGCAAGUCGCGCGGAUGAAGGGAGCUUGCUCCUGGAUUCAGCGGCGGACGGGUGAGUAAUGCCUAGGAAUCUGCCUGGUAGUGGGGGAUAACGUCCGGAAACGGGCGCUAAUACCGCAUACGUCCUGAGGGAGAAAGUGGGGGAUCUUCGGACCUCACGCUAUCAGAUGAGCCUAGGUCGGAUUAGCUAGUUGGUGGGGUAAAGGCCUACCAAGGCGACGAUCCGUAACUGGUCUGAGAGGAUGAUCAGUCACACUGGAACUGAGACACGGUCCAGACUCCUACGGGAGGCAGCAGUGGGGAAUAUUGGACAAUGGGCGAAAGCCUGAUCCAGCCAUGCCGCGUGUGUGAAGAAGGUCUUCGGAUUGUAAAGCACUUUAAGUUGGGAGGAAGGGCAGUAAGUUAAUACCUUGCUGUUUUGACGUUACCAACAGUAUAAGCACCGGCUAACUUCGUG
rnacentral:rRNA from 1 species